CUCUGCCUGGACUGUUCGUCAGUAGCGAGCGUCCUCGAGCCGAUAAUUGUUAUUUAGGGAUUCCUCAAUGCAGGUGUUGCGCAAGUCCGCUUAGAUCGGAAAGCCUGAUCCUGUACAUGGACUCCCCCCUUGAAACUCCGGGUUUCAGGGCAUCACCUACAACGGCAGUCUGGGUUUCUA
rnacentral:other from 2 species